CGCUUGAGGUGAGGUGGCUGCAGGGUCGCUCGAGAAGAAUAGGCUCAUCAGCACCACCUGGAUGCCUUCGUCAUCAGCAAUGUGGACAAGGUAAAGUGGGAUGGCGGGAUUGUAUAGUGCUCAUAAGCCAGUCCGGGCAUUGUCCUUCCUCGAAUGAAUCUGAGACUACUCCUCAUAUGUUAAUCAGUUGCUCCUCCCUAGCUUUGGUUUGGUCUGAACUUCAAAUUUUUCAUCCACUCAAUGUUGAUUCAGUCAAAGAUCUCUUGGAAAAAUUAUUUCGACAAGAUUCACUCUAUAAUGUUGUUAUCAUUGUCCUCUGGAAUAUAUGGAAGCGCAAAAACUCCAAGGUCUCCCGGGAUGUUUUUGAGGAAUUGCACAUUACUGCUAGCAAGAUUGCUGAUGAUUGAUACCAUGGUCCAACAGUUUUAUGAAGUGGUUCAGGCUGGCGUAAGCCGCCAUAGUCCCAGUAAAAAAAAGGCUACAAGCUUCGCUUCGGCCUUUUGGAACUGAAUAUUAUGUAGUUUUAUUGAGAUUAUUGAUAGUGCUUCUCUACUAUCAAAGAAGAUAUGAACUUCAAAUUAUCCUGCAAUGUAUUGACUGCUCGGAGCUAACUUGACUACGCCAGUUUUCUUUUAUGGCUCAAAGUAGUUAGUGUCCCCCCUUAUUAUGAGAGAGGUUCUAUGGCAGUGGAGUAAUGUUCGUAAAUUAUAUAUUGCUUUCAAGUUUGGAGCUGGAAUAAUAUAUGUGCUGCAUUUAGUUAUAGUCUUAUAGAUAUACAUGAACAUCCAUUGUAUAUUUCUUGCAAGACAUGGUAACUACUAUUAUUUUGAUUGUUUCCGUGAACUAUUUUGACCUUGAUUAAGAAGUAGAAAGUUUUUAGCCUCGUAGGUUGUUUGAUCUACUAUAUCAAGUGGCACUUGGCUUCUCAUGGCUCUCCUCGCAUUUGCCAAAACAAAGUUAGUACACACUACCUAGAGCUCUGGAAAUUAGAACUGAAAAAUGGUCCUGCGGUUUAUUAGCUGAUAUAAAUCAUGCACAAUCCUCUACAUUUAAAAAUAAACCGGCCACAAAGCAGUAUACUUUUUUCCGAGUACUACCUUGAGAGAGCCAAGGGGUUCUGCAUU